CCCCAAGCUUACCUCUUGCUCGUCCCUGAGCAAGGAUAGACUCAGCUAUAGAUCAUAAGUUGUUGCAAUAUCUUUAAAAAUUGACGGUACACAUGCUUUUAAAUGAGGUCUCAUCUCUGAGUUAGAGUAAACUGUCAAGACUUAAAACUUACUUACUUUACCUUUCACCAUGGGACUUGUAACCGUCACUUCUGUCUUGAGUGGUUAAAAGAUAGAACAGUCCAGUCAAGUGCCAUGUCGCUUAUUCUUGAUCAGCUAUAGCUCUGGAGUUUUUGCAGAUUUUCAAAUAAAACUCAGAGAUUCCUUUGUAUGACUCUCUCAUAUCUCUCUUUUGUGGUAUUUCUGGAUCCUUACCAAUGCAGUGAUGGUAUAUGCCUUCUCUCAAAACAUGUGGUAUUUGUGGUAUAAGGCAUAGUGACAUUGCCUUCUCUCUCACCCUACUCUAAUAAGGCUUUAAUAUCUGGAGCUCAUAGGUGGGAGAUAAAGUAUACAUACUUACAAGACAUGUAUUGCAUAGUCAAACCAUGGAUCCAAAGAAAUAAAUCAAUAAGCCAAAUCAAGAUGUGCAUGUGUGGCGAAUGAAUAGUGUAUGGUGAUGAUGGUGAUAACAAUGGUGAAAGUCUAAUUCUACUUUUGCUCUUUUAAGGGGAUACAUACCUUCCUUGCUUUUUGAAACUUUAUGAGGAGAAUGAGAUGCUCUUCUUUUUCUUUUCUCUCAGAUGGGUAUCCUGUACCCCUAAUUCUACUGUCAGACACUUGUCCAUUUUUACCUCUCGUCUCACUCUUUUUCUUUUCUUUCGAGGUUCCGGGCACUUGCCCCUUUUUAUUUCCUCGUUUAUUUUUUUUCUUUUCUUUUUUUUCUUCUUUUUUUUCAGAGCACUCAUCUCUUGAGAUAAUAUAGCAAGUGGUAGUAGCAAGAUAACUUGAGCAUUUAUUUCACAAGGGAAAAACACAGAUGUUUUUGGCUAUUCUCUCCCGAAUUAGGAGUAGAAUAUUUUUAGGUGAUUCUGGAGAUGGAAAUGGAUGGAUAUAUAUGGAUGGUACUUCCGGAGUAGAAGUAGCAUAUAUAUGAGUGAACGUGCAAGUGAAUCUUGAUUUAACCACAUGACAAGCUCCUAAGGGUCUACACAGCUUGACCACACUCAAUGCUCAUAAGCAGUAAAUAAUAAAUGUGUGGCUCAAAGUCUAGCAAGCAUGUAUAUAUGGCUGUGGUAGGAAUUUAAACUUUCAUCAUACAGGAACUCAUCAUGCAACAUUUUAAAGAUUUUUCAAAGAUAAAAUUCUCCAGAAUUCUAGCAUCUCUAGGAACAGAUAAACAGCAGCUCAACCUUCCCAUAUCUUAUCCGUUAACAACUUAGAUUUUAGAUCAAGUUUUCAUCCCACAAGUUUAGAUCUAGAGCAAGCUUUAAAUUAUAACAGUUAUGUCUAAACUUGAGAGAGAACUUCAAAUUUGCAAAUUAGGCAGAGCAACUAUUCAUCAUAUCCAUGCUAGAGUUUUAUUAUUAAGAUUCAUAGCAAACUUUAUUUAUUUAUUUAUUUAUUUAUUUAGCAAACUAAGAAAAGUAUAUAUAUAUAAGCAUAAAAUCUUUAUUUGGUUUUUCAUAGUUUAUGUAUUUUAAUAUUCUAAUAUAAUAUAAGUAUAAAGAUAGGUAGAAAUACUUAGCGAGAUAAAUAGGGGUGCUCUCCCUCAAGCUGAAUUUUGACGUAAUUUCUCUUGAUGUAGCUAGCAGGUGGCAGAGGUGUAUUUGAAAGUCAGCAGCAUUCUGACAGCAAUUAGAAUAUCCUCUAUCUUUCGGCGAGGGUUCAAUGUUUUAAGUCUUCUUAACAAGACUUCUCACCGUGUUCAUUCUUCAGGUGCGUCAUUUGAUUCAGGUGCGGACCUUGACGUCUGCACCUCUUGAUACGGUGUCGCCCAUAUUCUUCGUUUGCCCAGCAGUUCGAAGUGCGGUGUUAGCAGUAUCUUGCUCAAUGUGUUUGUGCUCGUAGUGUACCUGCUCAUAGAGACAAGGCAGAGAUCAAGUGAACCAAAAGUGUAUUUGUUCUUCUCUAACCUUAAGCAUAGUGAGCAAGACAAGUUGAUGGAUGAUAAGUUCAUGAGUGUAGCACUUAUAACAUUUGUCAGAUCAGAUCGCUCAACCUUAUGGAAAGAUAAUCUAUCUAUGUAUAUGUCUUUUUAUUUAUAUCUCUCAAUGAUUGAAUGUGUAACAUUUUAGCUCAUAUGAUUAGGAGUGUGGGAUCAUGGAGGUAGUACUAAGAACAAGGAUUAAAGGACUAAACAUGUUGAAUCAGUUGGGUUGGUUAAUCUAGAGUUGUAAAUCAUACACGUUUGUCUCUUUUAUUUAUAUGAACGCCAGAACCAAGGAGAAGCUUAUAAAAGUGAUAGUCAAGUACCUUAGGAUGUUACCUUGCUUGAAAAGUGAUGGUACAGUAUCACCUUGUGGAAGCUUUCCUUUCUUAGCGGUUGUGCAUCGUGUUCGUGGCACCCUCCAUGGAUCUUCACUUUAUGAUGAAUGAGCUAUGUCCUUCUUGUGCUAAUUGUUAAACUUCAUGUGUCACUUUCUUCGUCUCUGAUGUGAGUUUAUCUCAGGACUUCCCAAAUCGAUAUUGAAAGUUUUUCUGCAGGGGUUAGUCCAACAAAAUAUACCAAUAUCUACUCAAGCAGUUUUUAGUUCAAUAACCAAACUAGACUCCUUGUCUAAUCAGAUUAAGGAAGGCUAUUUAACCUAAGCACCAUGCUUAAUUUAAAUGCCAAUGGAAGUAUGGCGAGUACUUCCAAACCAACACUUGCUAGUAAAUAGACAACGGUAGCAUGACAGCGUUUAUAGAGAUCUACUCAAGUGGAGAUGAAGUAGUGUGAUUAGUAUUUAACAAAUUGAGCAUGUCUCAAAGGUAGGGACAACCAGCAUAGCAACAUGGCAAAGGAUGUUUUUAUGUAAAGUACUCCCCCAAGCUUGAAUUUUGCAAAAAUUCAAGUUUGGAUGAAUUUAAUUCAAUGUUGUAUGAUGAUUGGUUGGACAUACCUUGUGCUUGUCAUUCAUCCGAUCUUCUUGCUCCAAUCUUAGAAAGGUUAGUGACAAGAAUACCCGAAGGAAUAUAUUUUUUUUACAAUUAUCCUUAUAUGCUCAAUACACAAGGUAAUGUUGCAAAUAAUUAAAGGCUCAUGUUACGAUCUGAUCAAUGCUUAUUUUAAGACACUAAGCUUGUCCUUGGGAAACCAUCAGUUUAUGUUGGCGAAGUGGUUUCCCCUCCGACGCCAACCUAUAUCUAGAUCAACUCAACGAGAUCUGCAAUAUUUAUUAUAGACAUAUGCAUCGACAACCGCCCUUUUAAAGUUUUUAUAAAUAGAAAGGAAGAGGGGGUUGGAGAUCUCAAGUGUGGUGAUGUCGGAGAGACCAAUAGAUUGGGAAGAUGUUGCAUAUGAGCAUGGAGUAAACGAAGUGGCUAUGAAAUAAAUUCCAUGCUCAUUAAUGUUAUCUUCGUCUCUAAUCUGAAUGUUCGGAGUUUCUCCUGGAUUGGUCUCACCUAUGUCCUGUUCUGUAGUUGGAUGAAUCUCAUCUUCAAAGGGAGUCAAGAACUCACCAUUUGAAAUUGAGCCAAAGUCAGAACCUAUUAAGGCUUCUUUCUUAUCCAUCCAUUCUACACAUUCUAGCCAUUUAGAACUUGUGAUCAAAAUAGGGGAGGUGUUAGAAUUUUCUAUAUGGCUUAGCUCUCCUUCUAUGGCAUUACUUGACAUGCCAUCCUUAUGGUCUUCAUGACUCCUAUGGUUUGGUCGUCUUGGUGAAUUGCUAGGAUCAUCAUGAGAGUGAAAAGAAGAGGGAUAAGAGGGAUCUCUAAGGUCAAGGAUGGAUUUAGAACUUGUGAACAUGGAAGGGGAGUAGAUAGAAUUGUCUAUAUGGCUUAGCUCUCCUUCACUUGAUAUGUCAUCCUCGACUUCUUCAUGAUAGGAACCAGGACAUUCUCUAAGAGAAACAUUAUUGCAAUGAUUUGAAUUAUCCCUGCUUGAAGGUCUCUUAUAGAACUAGAAGUCUAAACCAUCAGCAUUUAAAAGAUUUAAGGUCGGAAUUCCUUCCUCCCUUGGAGAAUUUUGGGGUAUUGAUGGUUUAGAAUCGAUAGCUAAAGUUUGGGAUUGAAGUGGUUGUGAUCUGGCUAUCAAAACUUCUUCUUCUUGUCUAGGAACUGGUUCUUUCUCUUUCUCAGGGAUAUAAAAGCUAGGAGACUUUCCGCUCAUUAAAUCAAUCAAAUUCCAAGCUUCACUAGCGGAUAUGUGGUGGAAAGAUCCUCCAGAGGCCGCAUGAAGGGUUUGCCUAUUUUUCCUACUAAGGCCCUCAAAAAAGUGAAUUAGAAGAACUUCUUCUGGAAUAGAAAGUUUUGGGCCAGUGAGAGUAAGGUUAAUAAAGCGGUCCCAUGAUUUGCCAAGAGAUUCUUCUUCCAGUUGUCUAAAAGAAAGAAUCUCACGCCGAAGUUCCACCACUUUGGAGAUUGGAAAAUAUUUAGAUAGAAAACUACUAUAUAACUCCUUCCAAUCUCCAUGAACACUCCCUACUUUAAGUUUAUACCAAUGUCUAGCUUUUCCCGUUAAAGAGAACGGAAAGAGCUUCCAUUUAAGGGUCUCAUCGGACAUGCCUUCUAUGCGAAGGAGGUCACAGACUCGAUAAAACUCUCUAAGGUGUGUGUAUGGGUUUUCCUCACCUUCUCCUGAGAAAGGUUGUUUUUGAAUAAAUUCUAUGUAUUCGGGGUCUAUCUCAAAACUAGAUGCUAUGAUAGGCUUUGAAGAUUUUGGUGGUUCGAGAUGUGUGCCCAUAGGUCUAUGAAAUUCAUAGAUAGACAUGUUUGAAUUCAUGAUAGACCAGAGAUCAAGGAUUAGAUAAGAAGAAAGAUUAGCAGAGAUGAGGCAAAGGAUAAAAGGAAAAUAUUUUUUUUAUUAUUUUUUUUAAAAAAAUGAUUAAGCUAGUUCGUAGUCAACUCAGCAACCGUUUCCCCGGCAACGGUGCCAAAAAUGCUUGUUGACACUUGCUAACACCACUUGAAUACUAGGUUGUCAUCCCCAGCAUGGCACUAGAGUGUACUAUGGUAUUUAUACGCACACAGAUAAUCCGCAAGCGCACGGAUACCGUUGAAGCUUUUACCCGGUUAAAGGUUUUAUCGUAUCCACAGGGAAACGGGAGAACCAACUACGCUCUAACUUAACCAAGAUAGAUAGAUAGGUGUAAAUAGGAAAGAUGAUAGAAUCGAAUAAGAACAAUAUUAAAGGUAAGAUAACAGUGAGUGAUAAUAUGGGAAUAGAGAAUAGAGCAAUUCUAGUAUAUGGGCGAUGGUAGCAGAAUAGAGAGGAUAACUAUGGUUUCUCUACUUCAAAGGGGUAUGUCUAUGUCUGGGACGAACCACGUGAUAAGAGUACACCACAAAGGAUGCUUAUCCAUAGGCCGAUAAACCCUACCCGUCCUGCUAACGAGAGGUGGACUACAGGGGACCAACGUAACUGUCACCUACGCGGCCUACCACAUGAUCUAGCUAGUCGGGGGAUAUCCACAAGUAAUCUAGGUCUAAGCACCACGCUUACACCUAUACUACAACUCUAACCUAUAGGGUCCUAUAGAUUAGAAGUACUCAAAAGAGUUGUGAACCAGAACAUACAUGAUUAGUAAUUGCAUAAUGAAUUAGAAGUAGAUUACCAGAGUCAUCCCAUGAGCAAGCUUGAUUAGAGCUUGAUCAUGGCGAAGUACAACCGGAGGAAGAACAGACAGGCCGGCCUCUCCUCUAAUCCUCCUUCGCUCUCCACCUCGCUACUAUCUAGAUCUACUCUAGUUUAGAGAAGAGAGGAGAGCUCUCAUCUCUAAACCCUAGCUUUUGCUCUGUCUAUGAAUAAUGAAUAAUGAUCAAGGGGUUGUCUCCUCCAGGGGCCAGGGGGUCUGGUUUUAUAGUCCCCUCAAGUGAACCUGGGCCGUCGGAUCAAACCGACAUUGAUUGAACGGUUAUUCUUGAUCCUUUAGGUCGGUGGAGCAUAAUCCGCGAGAUUGAGCGUGAUUGGCCACAGGAGGUGGGCGGGCACCCAGUAGGACAGGGCGGGCACCCUGUCUCUGGCCCCGAUUCGCCUCCGCUUCGGUCUCGUGGCUUCUGGAGUCUUCUAGAUGUAAGAUAAUUGCGCGGCACGUUAAUAUCUUUACGUAAUCCCGACGUGUGGGCCUUUCUUCCUUAUUUCCUGAUAACCCCCUGCAGAAAUAGACAAACACCAAAACUCGUAGAAUUCUGUCAAAUAAAACCCUAAGUCUAGAUGUUGAUUUCAUUUGGAUCCUUUUCUUUGUUUAUUUGAUAAUUAAAUUUGAUACUUAAGGACCGUCAACAAACUCCCCCAAGCUUACCUCUUGCUCGUCCCUGAGCAAGGAUAGACUCAGCUAUAGAUCAUAAGUUGUUGCAAUAUCUUUAAUAAUUGACGGUACACAUGCUUUUACAUGAGGUCUCAUCUCUGAGUUAGAGUAAACUGUCAAGACUUAAAACUUACUUACUUUACCUUUCACCAUGGGACUUGUAACCGUCACUUCUGUCUUGAGUGGUUAAAAGCUAGAACAGUCCAGUCAAGUGCCAUGUCGCUUAUUCUUGAUCAGCUAUAGCUCUGGAGUUUUUGCAGAUUUUCAAAUAAAACUCAGAGAUUCCUUUGUAUGACUCUCUCAUAUCUCUCUUUUGUGGUAUUUCUGGAUCCUUACCAAGGCAGUGAUGGUAUAUGCCUUCUCUCAAAACAUGUGGUAUUUGUGGUAUAAGGCAUAGUGACAUUGCCUUCUCUCUCACCCUACUCUAAUAAGGCUUUAAUAUCUGGAGCUCAUAGGUGGGAGAUAAAGUAUACAUACUUACAAGACAUGUAUUGCAUAGUCAAACCAUGGAUCCAAAGAAACAAAUCAAUAAGCCAAAUCAAGAUGUGCAUGUGUGGCGAAUGAAUAGUGUAUGGUGAUGAUGGUGAUAACAAUGGUGAAAGUCUAAUUCUACUUUUGCUCUUUUGAGGGGAUACAUACCUUCCUUGCUUUUUGAAACUUUAUGAGAAGAAUGAGAUGCUAUUCUUUUUCUUUUCUCUCACAUGGGUAUCCUGUACCCCUAAUUCUACUGUCGGACACUUGUCCAUUUUUACCUCUCGUCUCACUCUUUUUCUUUUCUUUCGAGGUUCCGGGCACUUGCCCCUUUUUAUUUCCUCGUUUAUUUUUUUUUUCUUUUCUUUUUUUCUUCUUCUUUUUUUUCAGAGCACUCAUCUCUUGAGAUAAUAUAGCAAGUGGUAGUAGCAAGAUAACUUGAGCAUUUAUUUCACAAGGGAAAAACACAGAUGUUUUUGGCUAUUCUCUCCCGAAUUAGGAGUACAAUAUUUUUAGGUGAUUCUGGAGAUGGAAAUGGAUGGAUAUAUAUGGAUGGUACUUUCGGAGUAGAAGUAGCAUAUAUAUGAGUGAACGUGCAAGUGAAUCUUGAUUUAACCACAUGACAAGCUCCUAAGGGUCUACACAGCUUGACCACACUCAAUGCUCAUAAGCAGUAAAUAAUAAAUGUGUGGCUCAAAGUCUAGCAAGCAUGUAUAUAUGGCUGUGGUAGGAAUUUAAACUUUCAUCAUACAGGAACUCAUCAUGCAACAUUUUAAAGAUUUUUCAAAGAUAAAAUUCUCCAGAAUUCUAGCAUCUCUAGGAACAGAUAAACAGCAGCUCAACCUUCCCAUAUCUUAUCCGUUAACAACUUAGAUUUUAGAUCAAGUUUUCAUCCCACAAGUUUAGAUCUAGAGCAAGCUUUAAAUUAUAACAUCUAUGUCUAAACUUGAGAGAGAACUUCAAAUUUGCAAAUUAGGCAGAGCAACUAUUCAUCAUAUCCAUGCUAGAGUUUUAUUAUUAAGAUUCAUAGCAAACUUUAUUUAUUUAUUUAUUUAUUUAGCAAACUAAGAAAAGUAUAUAUAUAUAAGCAUAAAAUCUUUAUUUGGUUUUUCAUAGUUUAUGUAUUUUAAUAUUCUAAUAUAAUAUAAGUAUAAAGGUAGGUAUAAAUACUUAGCGAGAUAAAUAGGGGUGCUCUCCCUCAAGCUGAAUUUUGACGUAAUUUCUCUUGAUGUAGCUAGCAGGUGGCAGAGGGGUAUUUGAAAGUCAGCAGCAUUCUGACAGCAAUUAGAAUAUCCUCUAUCUUUCGGCGAGGGUUCAAUGUUUUAAGUCUUCUUAACAAGACUUCUCACCGUGUUCAUUCUUCAGGUGCGUCAUUUGAUUCAGGUGCGGACCUUGACGUCUGCACCUCUUGAUACGGUGUCACCCAUAUUCUUCGUUUGCCCAGCAGUUCGAAGUGCGGUGUUAGCAGUAUCUUGCUCAAUGUGUUUGUGCCCGUAGUGUACCUGCUCAUAGAGACAAGGCAGAGAUCAAGUGAACCAAAAGUGUAUUUGUUCUUCUCUAACCUUAAGCAUAGUGAGCAAGACAAGUUGAUGGAUGAUAAGUUCAUGAGUGUAGCACUUAUAACAUUUGUCAGAUCAGAUCGCUCAACCUUAUGGAAAGAUAAUAUAUCUAUGUAUAGGUCUUUUUAUUUAUAUCUCUCAAUGAUUGAAUGUGUAACAUUUUAGCUCAUAUGAUUAGGAGUGUGGGAUCAUGGAGGUAGUACUAAGAACAAGGAUUAAAGGACUAAACAUGUUGAAUCAGUUGGGUUGGUUAAUCUAGAGUUGUAAAUCAUACACGUUUGUCUCUUUUAUUUAUAUGAACGCCAGAACCAAGG
rnacentral:lncRNA from 1 species